GAUGAACGCUGGCGGCGUGCCUAAUACAUGCAAGUCGAGCGAACAGACGAGGAGCUUGCUCCUCUGACGUUAGCGGCGGACGGGUGAGUAACACGUGGAUAACCUACCUAUAAGACUGGGAUAACUUCGGGAAACCGGAGCUAAUACCGGAUAAUAUAUUGAACCGCAUGGUUCAAUAGUGAAAGACGGUUUUGCUGUCUCUUAUAGAUGGAUCCGCGCCGCAUUAGCUAGUUGGUAAGGUAACGGCUUACCAAGGCGACGAUGCGUAGCCGACCUGAGAGGGUGACCGGCCACACUGGAACUGAGACACGGUCCAGACUCCUACGGGAGGCAGCAGUAGGGAAUCUUCCGCAAUGGGCGAAAGCCUGACGGAGCAACGCCGCGUGAGUGAUGAAGGUCUUCGGAUCGUAAAACGCUGUUAUUAGGGAAGAACAAAUGUGUAAGUAACUAUGCACGUCUUGACGGUACCUAAUCAGAAAGCCACGGCUAACUACGUG
rnacentral:rRNA from 1 species